CUCCCCGGCCGGGAAUUGAACCCGGGUCUCGCAUUGUACGACGCGGAUUACUCACCACUAUACUACCGAGGA